rnacentral:rRNA from 1 species
GACGAACGCUGGCGGCGUGCCUAAUACAUGCAAGUCGAACGCUGAAGGAGGAGCUUGCUUCUCUGGAUGAGUUGCGAACGGGUGAGUAACGCGUAGGUAACCUGCCUGGUAGCGGGGGAUAACUAUUGGAAACGAUAGCUAAUACCGCAUAAGAGUAGAUGUUGCAUGACAUUUGCUUAAAAGGUGCAAUUGCAUCACUACCAGAUGGACCUGCGUUGUAUUAGCUAGUUGGUGGGGUAACGGCUCACCAAGGCGACGAUACAUAGCCGACCUGAGAGGGGGAUCGGCCACACUGGGACUGAGACACGGCCCAGACUCCUACGGGAGGCAGCAGUAGGGAAUCUUCGGCAAUGGACGGAAGUCUGACCGAGCAACGCCGCGUGAGUGAAGAAGGGUUUCGGAUCGUAAAGCUCUGUUGUAAGAGAAGAACGAGUGUGAGAGUGGAAAGUUCACACUGUGACGGUAUCUUACCAGAAAGAGACGGCUAACUACGUG